rnacentral:rRNA from 1 species
AGCGUAGACGGUUUGGCAAGUCUGAAGUGAAAGCCCGGGGCUCAACCCCGGGACUGCUUUGGAAACUGUCAAACUAGAGUGCAGGAGAGGUAAGUGGAAUUCCUAGUGUAGCGGUGAAAUGCGUAGAUAUUAGGAGGAACACCAGUGGCGAAGGCGGCUUACUGGACUGUAACUGACGUUGAGGCUCGAAAGCGUGGGGAGCAAACA